GAACUGCAGGGAGCAUCACAUUGUGCGCCCCCGGCGGGCAGCCAGAAGGAAAGCGCAGAGUCUCUGGGAGCCUCGGGGAAGGAACCUGCCUCCCCGGCGGCCCCAGUCCCUGCCUGUAGCCAGAACCAGGAGAAGUAAAAGAAAAUUGAUUGGCAGCUUGCUCCUGGCUCACCCGCUUUGCGGAGGAUGGAGAAGUUUAGGCUUCCGAGUUCUCAGCCGGGGGCGUGACCUGGGUGGGCAGGGCUGGCCCUAGAGGGUGAUGCUUGGGGUUUGCGAGGGGAAGGGAAGCAUUAGCGCUGUCCUUUAGAACAGUGACAUGGGGACGGAGCUGUGGGAGGGCUGGCGGACCCUUUGCACAGGCCCCCCAGGGGCAGCGAGUGGGGUGGGGGGGGUGGGGCUGUGAGCCCACCUGCUGCUGAAGGAGCCCCACGGCCAGGAAGGCCUGCAGGACAGGGGAGUCUCUGCCCACACUGGGAGGUGUCUGCGGCUCCGGGGCCUUGUAGAUAGAGAGCAAUCCAGCCUGAUGCUGGGAAGCCCGGAGGACGGGAAGUGACCAGGUGACGGAUGGCAAGUCCAGUCUGGACUGGAGGAGACCAAGGGCCGCUCCGCGUGGGUCCAGCAGCGAGGGAGCUCAGACGGGCCCAGCAGACCCAGAACAAGGGCCUGUGCUUGCAGCUAAACUAGGUCCAGCUGGCUUAUCGAGCAGCGAGUCUGAAGUCACGGGGACCCCCAGGGAGUGUGAAAGGCAGGACCACAGCUUCGCCUCUCUGCUGCAGACCGGGCCCUGGGCUCUCUGCGGCCACUGCUGCAUCUGCCCUGCCUUCUCCUCUCCGUCACAGUCGCAGGCAUCGCCCCUUGGGAGUUGGCCGAUUUGCAGGUACCCGGUUCCCCAGACCUGGCUGCAGAAGCGCGUGAAUGUUGCACAGACGCUCAUGGCUCGUGGGCUGCAGGCAGAGGCACUGAUGCGACGAAGCAGGGCCUCCUGCGCCUCCUCCAGCGACAGAAGCGGCUACUACGGGCUGCCUGCCGAGGGUGAGAAGGGAAUAUUCAUGGAGGGAAGGGACCUCCCGAGAGAAGAGGCGAAGGGGUAACGGCCCUCACCUUUCAUCAGAGACAGAGACAGGGCAGCCGCUCCCGAAAUAAAUACUCCAGCGGCAUGGAGUGUGCCA
rnacentral:lncRNA from 1 species